CAAAGUUGCAUUCAAACACACUUUGAAACAACAAGAGUUAACCAUUAAUUCUAGCCUAACUUCAAUGCCAGAAUCUACAAAGGAAGAAACAAACAAACAUGGUAAGUCUACCAAACGUAUUGAUUUGCGAUAUAGUAAGAAGAGGAGACCAGCUGCUGGGAGUUAGCAACUAGGACUAGGACCAGAGUCACUCAUCCUGGGCUGGUUCUGCCAUGGACCUGUGAAGAUUCCUUGCCCUCCAUGAAAGCUCAGCAAUGAGACUAUUGCAGGAGUUGUGACCAGAAAAGUGCAGCCCAACAGGUCUCCUCUACACACCCAGCCUGGACCCUUGAUGCAAUGCUCGGAAACAAAUAAAGAAGGAGGAGGAGGAGGAUGCGAAGAAGAGGA